AAACUGCGAAUGGCUCAUUAAAUCAGUUAUCGUUUAUUUGAUAGUACCUUACUACUUGGAUAACCGUGGUAAUUCUAGAGCUAAUACAUGCUAAAAACCUCGACUUCGGAAGGGGUGUAUUUAUUAGAUAAAAAACCAAUGCCCUCGGGCUCCUUGGUGAUUCAUAAUAACUAAACGAAUCGCAUGGCCUUGCGCCGGCGAUGGUUCAUUCAAAUUUCUGCCCUAUCAACUUUCGAUGGUAGGAUAGUGGCCUACCAUGGUAUCAACGGGUAACGGGGAAUUAGGGUUCUAUUCCGGAGAGGGAGCCUGAGAAACGGCUACCACAUCCAAGGAAGGCAGCAGGCGCGCAAAUUACCCAAUCCCGACACGGGGAGGUAGUGACAAUAAAUACUGAUACAGGGCUCUUUUGGGUCUUGUAAUUGGAAUGAGUACAAUUUAAAUCCCUUAACGAGGAACAAUUGGAGGGCAAGUCUGGUGCCAGCAGCCGCGGUAAUUCCAGCUCCAAUAGCGUAUAUUAAAGUUGUUGCAGUUAAAAAGCUCGUAGUUGAACCUUGGGCCUGGCUGGCCGGUCCGCCUCACCGCGUGUACUGGUCCGGCCGGGCCUUUCCUUCUGGGGAGCCGCAUGCCCUUCACUGGGCGUGUUGGGGAACCAGGACUUUUACUUUGAAAAAAUUAGAGUGUUCAAAGCAGGCCUUUGCUCGAAUACAUUAGCAUGGAAUAAUAGAAUAGGACGUGCGGUUCUAUUUUGUUGGUUUCUAGGACCGCCGUAAUGAUUAAUAGGGAUAGUCGGGGGCAUCAGUAUUCAAUUGUCAGAGGUGAAAUUCUUGGAUUUAUUGAAGACUAACUACUGCGAAAGCAUUUGCCAAGGAUGUUUUCAUUAAUCAGUGAACGAAAGUUAGGGGAUCGAAGACGAUCAGAUACCGUCGUAGUCUUAACCAUAAACUAUGCCGACUAGGGAUCGGGCGAUGUUAUCAUUUUGACUCGCUCGGCACCUUACGAGAAAUCAAAGUCUUUGGGUCUGGGGGA
rnacentral:rRNA from 1 species